rnacentral:rRNA from 1 species
UACAGAGGGUGCGAGCGUUAAUCGGAAUUACUGGGCGUAAAGCGUGCGCAGGCGGUUGUGCAAGACAGAUGUGAAAUCCCCGGGCUUAACCUGGGAAUUGCAUUUGUGACUGCACGGCUAGAGUGUGUCAGAGGGGGGGUAGAAUUCCACGUGUAGCAGUGAAAUGCGUAGAUAUGUGGAGGAAUACCGAUGGCGAAGGCAGCCCCCUGGGAUAACACUGACGCUCAUGCACGAAAGCGUGGGGAGCAAACAGG